rnacentral:lncRNA from 1 species
GUCCCUGACGCUUAACACAGGCAACAGGACCAGAAGUUUCCCGUGGUCCCCCCAAAAUGUUAGGGAAGUUUGUGUAGGAAGUUUCUCUAAUUCCAAGUUCGACGUUACUACCUGCUUCUCAAAUGAGUAAUUGGCAGCCUCAAUUCUCUGCAGAGGGGAUGCAGAAUAGCAGAGUAUCUGUGAUACAACUUUCGGGAACAUCAAUUUUACUACAAGAUUUAUAACAAAUGGAGUUAAGUAACUUCCAAGGUGCUGGAUACACAGUCUGAACAGCACAGUUUAGGGUCCUGUGCUAUGAAGAAACCUACAUGCUAAUCCUGGGAAAUGAGACAAGCAACAAGCAAGUGAACCCAGGAAAAACCAGUGUCACUUCAGAUGGUGAUAAAGCAGGGUCAUGUGAUCGAGCGAGCCCAAAUGGCUAGUGGACAGAAGGUCACUCUAUUUUAGAUUGGCUGGUCAGGGCUAAAGGUCAGAGGAUUCAGCAUGGGGUCACUCCAGUGUAGAACACAUGGCCACUUUGUCAGCAUCCAUACUGUUGCCAGAACUGGGCCAGCAGUAAAUGAAAAGGACUGUUCCCUGCAUGACAAUGAUGCCUGUGAGGGGUAAGGCACAGGUGGAAAAGGCUUUGCAUCUUCCCUCUGCAGAGAGCAUCCUCAGGAUGGUGAUGAGAACAAACAGUAGGAGGUGAGGAUGAUCACGGUGGUGAUGAUCUCACUAAAAGUGGCCACAAGGAACACCAUCAGUUCAUUAAUAGAGAUGUCACAGCAAGCACGAGUGAAGAGAGGGGGUACAUCACAAAAGAAAUCAUUAACUACACUUUACCUAUAGGAUGGGAUUUCACCAGCUAAACACAAGUGAAUCAGAGAACACACAGUUCCACAGAGGUGGCAGCCAGAAGCCAGCACCAUACAAAGUUUCUGGGACAUGGAGACCACAGAAAGCAGUGGGCUACAGAUGGCCAAGAAGCAGUCAUAGCCAUGACAGCCAGCAGGAAGACCUCGGUGACUGCACACAUGCAAAACAAGUAGAAUUGUACCAUGCAUCCCAGGAAAGAGAUGGCUUUUUCCUUGUUUAAGAUAUUGGACAGCAUCUUUGGCAUGAUGAAGAUGGAACAGCAAAAAAUCCACAAAGGACGAGAGCCUGAGGAUAAAGUACAUGGGAGUGUGAAGUCAAGAGCUGGCUUGAAUCACUGCAGUCAUGCUCAGGUUGGCCAAAACCGUGACUCCAAAUAUGAGAAGUAACAGAGGGGGUGAAAGACUGAUGCUCAGGGGCAUCUGACAGUCGAAGAAGAGUGAACUCUGUCACAAUGGUACAGUUCUCCUCCUCCAUUUCCACCGUAUGUCAGGAUAGGAAAAUAAGUGGUAAGUUUUGUGUUUCUUCUAAAAAAAAAAAGAGUAAGAGAGAAGUCAACACACUUAUAUUAACUUCAUAAAAAUAUAACAUUAAUACCAAAC